rnacentral:lncRNA from 1 species
AUCCUCCCGCCUUGGCCUCCCAAAGUGCUGGGAUUACAGGCGUGAGCCACAGCACCUGGCCAUCUUACCCAUUUUUAUAUCCUGCUGCCCACCCCCUCCAGCAACUAGGCCUGCACCUAGAAAGAUAUUAUCAAAUGUCCCUGCCACAUCCCUGCCAGUAUCCCUGUCUGUCCCCAGCCAGCCCACACAACGGAUGCACAGAAAGGACCUGUCUUCUUUGACAAAGGAGGCUGAUGAUCUAAUACUCUCUUCUGACUUCCUAGCUUGAAUGCUGUUCCAUCUCUUCCUCCCACAGACCAGGACUCAAAGGGCAGCGCAUUUUCUCUGGAAAGACCCAUGUCAUAAUGCACCUUUGUAUGAAGCAGCAACCUUUGCACUGUCUCCAGUUAGUACUUUCAGAGGAAUUAGCUUAUCAGAGUAACUAGUUGGCACCUUAACAGGCAUGCAGAAUCUGACUCAGGAACAGAGACUCAAGAGAACUAAGGUGCAGUAGGAAGCAGGUGGCAGAGUGAAGAUGUGAGUAGUGGGAAAUAGUGUGAGUUAUCUGGGGUAGAAAAGGUAGAUUGGGAGCAAAACCGGCAAGGGGACAAGGGCUGGGUAAUGGGUAAAUUAUAAUGGCCUCUUCCUCAUUUAAGAGGCCAUUACAAUAAAUUUUACCUACUUUACCAAACAGCUUAAAGCCAAAGUGGGAGCUCAAAACCAGGAAGGAGCCAGGCACAGUGGCAUAUGCCUGUGGUCUCAGCUACUCAGGAGGCCAAGAUAAGAGGAUCACUUGAGCCCAGGAGUUUAAGACCAGCCCCGGCAACACAGUGAGACCUCAAAAACAACCCAGUUAUGGCAUGAGAAUCUGGCUGGAUGUGCUUCACCACCACCCAGAAGAGCCCCAUGGGGAUGUAGAGAUUAAAUCCAAUCAUCUCUAAGGUCCAUUCCCAACUGGAAUUUUAGAAUUUCAGAAGCAGGAACAUUUCCUACCUAUAGUUGAGCAGUUUCAUGCUACAUCAUGGUGGAUCCCUCCCAAGUCACCACUGCCUAACAUUCCACAGAAUAUAGUUGAAAGAAACACUUCAGGAGUUCAUCCAAGCAGUCAAUCGGUCAUUUCACAAGGAUCCAAUGAAGGCUUUCAAAAGUGAUUCUUGAAUCUGUAAGAACAA